UAGACGGAGAGUUUGAUCCUGGCUCAGGGUUAACGCUGGCGGCGCGCCUGAUACAUGCAAGUCGAGCGAGGGCUCAUUUCUCGCAAGAGAGAUGGGUUCCUAGCGGCGAACGGGUGAGUAACACGUGGGCAACCUUUCCCAAAGUGGGGGAUAACAUCGAGAAAUCGGUGCUAAUACCGCAUGUGGUCAUCGAAGACAUCUUUGAUGAAAAAAGCAGCAAUGCGCUUUGGGGUGGGCCCGCGGCCUAUCAGCUUGUUGGUGGGGUAACGGCCUACCAAGGCAUUGACGGGUAGCUGGUCUGAGAGGACGACCAGCCACACGGGGACUGAGACACGGCCCCGACUCCUACGGGAGGCAGCAGUAAGGAAUCUUCCGCAAUGGGCGAAAGCCUGACGGAGCGACGCCGCGUGUGGGAUGAAGUCUUUCGGGAUGUAAACCACUGUCGGAGGGGAAGAGAACGGACGGUACCCUCCAAGAAAGCCCCGGCUAACUACGUGCCAGCAGCCGCGGUAAUACGUAGGGGGCAAGCGUUACUCGGAUUUACUGGGCGUAAAGCGCGUGUAGGCGGCUGGUCAAGAGUGAUGUGAAAUCUCCGGGCUCAACCCGGAAACUGCAUCGCUAACUGGCCUGGCUAGAGUGCAGGAGAGGGCAGUGGAAUUCACGGUGUAGCGGUGGAAUGCGUAGAUAUCGUGAGGAACACCAGUGGCGAAGGCGACUGCCUGGCCUGUAACUGACGCUGAGACGCGAAAGCGUGGGGAGCGAACCGGAUUAGAUACCCGGGUAGUCCACGCCCUAAACGUUGCGAACUAGGUGUUGGCGAGAUUGACCUCGUCAGUGCCGCAGCUAACGCAUUAAGUUCGCCGCCUGGGAAGUACGGUCGCAAGAUUAAAACUCAAAGGAAUAGGCGGGGGCCCGCACAAGCAGCGGAGCGUGUGGUUUAAUUCGAUGCAACGCGAA
rnacentral:rRNA from 1 species